ACAGAAUUCGAUCAAUAUAAACGAAUCUCACCUAGCGGACGUCCAAUCUAAGCUCAAAUAUCUAAACUACGAGUUCAACGUUUACAAGGAUCUGAGCUCAUCCCUGGAGAAGGACAUUGAUACAUACAACUACCUGCUGGAAAGACACGAGGCUAUGACCCAAACACAUCAUUCCAGAAAAGGAGAUGGAACUCAACUUUGAAAAUGACGGUCACGGAAGUAAAUGCCCAAUUCUGGUGUGAAAGUGAUGGAAAUACAAAUGUCGGAUGAGUGGAAAUGCUAAACCUUAUGCUCGCGGCUUCUUCUUCCACGUCUUCAUUUACUCACCUUUUUAACAUGGUUUAGUAGGUGACAUACAUAAUACUGGAGAUGUACAUUCUCAGAUGACAAUGUUCUCUCCACAACUCAGCCUCUGGUCAUGGGUUAGGGAUGGGUUAUGGUGAGAAAAUCUCAUGACAUAACUCUGUAUAUACAGGUCCUCGAUUGUACAAUACAACCUCUA